rnacentral:rRNA from 1 species
UACGUAGGAUGCAAGCGAUUGUCCGGAAUUAUUGGGCGUUAAAGCGAACGUAGGCGGUUACUUAAGUUUGGUCUUAAAAGACCGGGGCUCAACUCCGGGAAUGGACUGAAUACUGGGUGACUAGAGGAUGUCAGAGGAAAGUGGAAUUCCAAGUGAUAGCGGUGAAAAUGCGUAGAUAUUUGGAGGAACACCAGUGGCGAAAAGCGGCUUUCUGGGACAUUCCUGACGCUGGAGGUUCGAAAGCUACGGGGGAGCCAAACAGG